UCUAAAAUUAGCAGAAAACCAGUGGCUUGUGGAACUGAGGAGGCAGGAUGCUCAGCACUGUCAGCCUGGGAUGAGGAAGAGCUGUUUCAGACCCAGUGUCUUCUCUUUGACAUGCUGUCAGUGAGGUACCAAGGCCCAGGUCUAGUGAAGCUGAGCAGGAUUUCGGAGCUUUGAAGCUUUGGUUUCUUUAAAACACAAAGUUUCGGAUUUCUUUGGAAAUGCAGAAAAAGGAAAAGAGGAUAAGAAUAGCCACUCAGGAAUACCUCAAGCCCUGCAAGAGACACAGGAAUGGAACCUCUGAGACUUGCAGAAAGUGUGAGACAUCAUCCCCAUCAGCCAGCAACACUGUAGUUUCUCUUUUAAAGUUUAUCCGUAAUUAAAAAAAAAAAAAGUUUGAAACAACUUUCUGUA